rnacentral:rRNA from 1 species
CCAUGAAGCUGGAUUCGCUAGUAAUCGCGCAUCAGCCAUGGCGCGGUGAAUACGUUCCCGGGCCUUGUACACACCGCCCGUCAAGCCAUGGGAGUCGGGAGUGCCUGAAGUUCGUGACCGUCACAGGAGCGACCUAAGGCAAGACCGAUGACUGGGGCUAAGUCGUAACAAGGUAAC